UACGUAGGGUGCAAGCGUUAAUCGGAAUUACUGGGCGUAAAGCGUGCGCAGGCGGCUUUGCAAGUCAGAUGUGAAAUCCCCGGGCUUAACCUGGGAACUGCAUUUGUGACUGCAUGGCUAGAGUACGGUAGAGGGGGAUGGAAUUCCGCGUGUAGCAGUGAAAUGCGUAGAUAUGCGGAGGAACACCGAUGGCGAAGGCAAUCCCCUGGACCUGUACUGACGCUCAUGCACGAAAGCCAGGGGAGCAAACGGG
rnacentral:rRNA from 1 species